rnacentral:rRNA from 1 species
GAUGAACGCUGGCGGCGUGCCUAAUACAUGCAAGUCGAGCGAACAGACGAGGAGCUUGCUCCUCUGACGUUAGCGGCGGACGGGUGAGUAACACGUGGAUAACCUACCUAUAAGACUGGGAUAACUUCGGGAAACCGGAGCUAAUACCGGAUAAUAUAUUGAACCGCAUGGUUCAAUAGUGAAAGACGGUUUUGCUGUCACUUAUAGAUGGAUCCGCGCCGCAUUAGCUAGUUGGUAAGGUAACGGCUUACCAAGGCGACGAUGCGUAGCCGACCUGAGAGGGUGAUCGGCCACACUGGAACUGAGACACGGUCCAGACUCCUAAGGGAGGCAGCAGUAGGGAAUCUUCCGCAAUGGGCGAAAGCCUGACGGAGCAACGCCGCGUGAGUGAUGAAGGUCUUCGGAUCGUAAAACUCUGCUAUUAGGGAAGAACAAAUGUGUAAGUAACUAUGCACGUCUUGACGGUACCUAAUCAGAAAGCCACGGCUAACUACGUG